rnacentral:siRNA from 1 species
GCUGGUGUGGGAGAACGAAC